CACAAUACACGGUCGGCCUCU
rnacentral:miRNA from 4 species